UUGUGUAGCCCUGCAGGCCAAGUCAACGUGCUCCUUCUCAAAGGAGCUACUACUGUAUCUAGCUCGCCCCUCUCCGUCGCCAUGGUUAUCGAUCUGCUGCUACGCCCACCGGAGAUGUGCAAAAGCAGCGAGGCUGUGGCGUGAGCUGAGCUUCAUUCUCUGCUGCCACUACUUGUGGCAUGGCAACGGCAGAUGACGAAAUGUGGGCGAUCUGUGUCUUGCGGAUAUACUCAAGCUGGAAGCUAGAAGAUAGAGCAGAUCUGGGGAAAAAAAAAGUGUUGCUGUUUGCCUGGUGGACUGGAUCCAUUUUCUUUGCCCUUUACAGGUUGAGUCUUGCGAUGAGAGGUUGACGAGCACGAUGAGGAGCUGAUGUAGCAUCAAGGCCUAAGCAUAUAUUCCUUCAGCUCCACAUCUUGAUCAGUUGACCAAACAACCCAGAGAUAAGCAUGAUGAUAUUAGUUUCACCUUUAAAUUCUAUCUACAGUAAAGACCAUGGUCAGUGUCCGCACAUCUUGACAAUUUUUAAGGAGUUAUUAGUUUGAGGUGUAGCAAACUAUUGUGACAAGAUCUAUUCUCAAAAGUUUUUGAAAACAGAAAACCGACUGAAUCUCUGGAAUCCGGAUGAUUUCUCAUUCGUGGACGUCACCGGGAAAUACCUUUCCAACAGGGAGGGAUAUUAUUACCCUACUCAAGUAUGUUGAACUGGUUAUGUUGCUAUCGUCACUUGAUCGUGUGAUACGAAUAAUAUCAGCAUAUCCAUCAUGUUUUUUUAUGAAUAGUAUUGGCAACAUGACUUAUUAAAAGUAUCUGAUGAACAUGCACAUACGUAGAAUCCAUUGUGCACCAAUGCCUGGUCCUACCUUUAUCAAAAACAAAGUCUGGUCCUAUGAGGAUUUUGGUCAUAGUUAUUUUUUUUAUGAGAUAUGACAAAGAAACUGUUAGAUGCAUAGUAAUGGAAGGGGUUACGUAUGUUACCAUUCCUAUUCCUGCACAAAAGUUGAUUUUCUGUACAUUUAUUCACACAUUAUGAUGAUCAAGGCGGCUAUAAGACGGUUAUUGUUUUUGAUAGUGAAUAUCAAGUGUUGACAAUAGGGAGCAACGCAGUUUGGGUAUUUUUCAGAACUCAGCAUCUGAUUAUUGAAAAUAAAGAACGUAGUCACAAAGAGGC